rnacentral:lncRNA from 1 species
UAACACUCGUUCACUAUUUUCCAUCUUUGCUCACUCGCUCUCCCUCUCUUUUUCUCCUUCGGCGACAUAAUCCUCCUUAUGAUCAAUUUCUCUCAGUCCUUGUUCAAAUCCAAUCACAGUUAGUGGAGCCAACGCCGCCCUCCUCCUUGCUUUCCAUCUUCGAGAAGAAGACCACCCAAAUCGAUCUCUACUGCCAUCUCUCUCUCUCUCUCUCUCUCUCUCUCAAACCCAGUUCCUAUCUUAACCUAAAGUUCCCGAUUCUCUCUCUAGGCCUUAGCCGUGCCUCAAACCCAUAUCUCAUGUCUCAAAUGAUUAAUUUUAAUUGGAAGGACCAAAGGAUGUAGAAAGGGGAUCUUGGUAGCAAAGGGGAUCUCGCUCUGUCCCUAGCAUCUGCCAAUCCCGACGGUCAGUUCGCUCUCUCCAGCUCGAAGGACGGUGAGCUUCGUCUCUAGAAGAUGGAAGCCAUCACCGAAUCUUAGGUUUCUUCUUCAAUAGAAGAAAACCCAAAGUUCCGCGGCUAUUCUGGUUUUGCCAAACCCAAAGACGAUGAGGCUGCUUGGGAUGGCGACGAGCCUGGUUGCUGGAAGCAUGUGGAUGAGGCCAAGGUUUGGUGUCUGAUGCAUUUCAUUUAACUUUUGGGUGUGGCUUGUUGACGUUUUUGAUGUUCGCAUUGGCGGCUUCUCAAAAGAAGCCUGAUGGAAUCUACACUUAGGGGUAAGAUUGUGGAGCAAAGAGGAGAGGAGCACUUGCUUGCUUGAAAGAAAAGAAGUGGAGAAUUGAUCAAUUGUGUUUGCUUGAUGUGUCUGCGGUUCAAUCAAUUGUGGUUGUGAUUCCUGUAGUUAGUGCUUCUAAGUGAAAUGGGAGGAGAAUUUGCAGCGAAGGAGAGUGGUAAAAUUUCCUAGAGACUGAGGGGCGGGUGCGAAAAUUUCUGAUUGUGAAGAUUAGGUGGCAUUGGAGGUAUUGUCAAUUGUGAAGCUGCUUCUACUAACAUUCCGAUCAUCUUUCUCAGGUUGGUUGCCUAUAAUUGACAUUCCAAAAGCAGGUGAAGCUGUGAAUAGAAGUGGAUAAUGUGAGAGCCGAUGAUCUUCAUUUAAAAAAGACUUCAAUCAUAUUUGCCGGAUUUUACACAUAAUUAGAAUUCUCAUACAAAGAAAGUGUUAGUGGUUAAGUGGUUUUCUUUUGUUUUGUAGAUAUUGGGAAUAGUGAACUAUCAAUGUUUGCAAGUAUUUUGAAUUCAGGUUUCGGCUGCUACUGUUACUUUUAAUGCAGCUCCUGCUGUUGGUGCAACUGAUUUAGUAGUUGUGAGAUUAGUCUGUAGACCUGCAGAUUCUAUUCCAAAACCCGCAGCAACCCGCGGGCACACAUGCUAUUGUAUCCUAUAUUGCUCUUUGACUUUGUACAUUGAACGGGAUGCGGACAAUAUUGAGCCCUAAAUCAAGUCAAAUCAUACAAUUGAAUGCCCAGCACUUGGAGUCCAGCUUUGUGUAAAGCUUGUACCAAUGAUGCAACCUUUAUUGUGAGGUAGAAACAAUGUAAGCAGGCUUUUGGAGAACAAUGCGAGCAAGCAGAUUCUGCUAUAUGCCUAGCAUAAGUCUGAAUGGGUGAUUCAACCAUAGAAGAUAAAGGGAAAAGUAUGCAGAAGUAGAAUAUUAUACUAGGUAGCUUUCUAAUAGGGAAAUAUAUAAAAGACCUGUUCUUAGAGGCCACUUUUGUAUAGAUGUUUUAGGUAGUAGUUUUUUGCCUUGUGAGUUGGUUGAAUUGAUGCUCAUUAUGUUUGUGUAUGGAACAAUUAAGGAUGUUUUUGUUAGCUAUAGUGCAGAUUGAAUAAUAUAUAACACUUGUGUAGUUUC